GCGGCAGGCUUACACAUGCAANUCGAGCGGGGAAGAGUAGCUUGCUACUUAACCUAGCGGCGGACGGGUGAGUAAUGCUUAGGAAUCUGCCUAUUAGUGGGGGACAACAUCUCGAAAGGGAUGCUAAUACCGCAUACGUCCUACGGGAGAAAGCAGGGGACCUUCGGGCCUUGCGCUAAUAGAUGAGCCUAAGUCGGAUUAGCUAGUUGGUGGGGUAAAGGCCUACCAAGGCGACGAUCUGUAGCGGGUCUGAGAGGAUGAUCCGCCACACUGGGACUGAGACACGGCCCAGACUCCUACGGGAGGCAGCAGUGGGGGAAUAUUGGACAAUGGGGGGAACCCUGAUCCAGCCAUGCCGCGUGUGUGAAGAAGGCCCUUUUGGGUUGUAAGCACUUUAAGCGAGGAGGAGGCUACCGAGAUUAAUNCUCUUGGGUANGNGGCCUNCUNNGCAGAAUAAGCACCCGGNUACUCUGNGCCAGCAGCCCGCGGUAUAC
rnacentral:rRNA from 1 species